rnacentral:rRNA from 1 species
CUUGAACGCUGGCGGCAGGCUUAACACAUGCAAGUCGAGCGAGCGGCGGACGGGUGAGUAAUGUCUGGGAAACUGCCUGAUGGAGGGGGAUAACUACUGGAAAAGGUAGCUAAUACCGCAUACCAUAAGAUGAGCCCAGAUGGGAUUAGCUAGUAGGUGGGGUACUGGCGCACCUAGGAGACGAUCCCUAGCUGGUCUGAGAGGAUGACCAGCCACAUUGGAACGGAGACACGGUCCAGACCCCUACGGGAGGCAGCAGUGGGGAAGAUUGCACAAUUGCCGCAAGCCUGAUGCAGCCAUGCCGAGUGUGUGAAGAAGGCCUCCGGGUUGUAAAGCACUUUCAGCGAGGAGGCGUUACUCGCAGAAGAAGCACCGGCUAACUCCGUGCCAGCAGCCGCGGUAAUUC